rnacentral:rRNA from 1 species
AGUGAACGCUGGCGGUAGGCCUAACACAUGCAAGUCGAACGGCAGCACAGGAGAGCUUGCUCUCUGGGUGGCGAGUGGCGGACGGGUGAGGAAUACAUCGGAAUCUACUCUGUCGUGGGGGAUAACGUAGGGAAACUUACGCUAAUACCGCAUACGACCGACGGGUGAAAGCAGGGGAUCUUCGGACCUUGCGCGAUUGAAUGAGCCGAUGUCGGAUUAGCUAGUUGGCGGGGUAAAGGCCCACCAAGGCGACGAUCCGUAGCUGGUCUGAGAGGAUGAUCAGCCGCACUGGAACUGAGACACGGUCCAGACUCCUACGGGAGGAAGCAGUGGGGAAUAUUGGACAAUGGGCGCAAGCCUGAUCCAGCCAUACCGCGUGGGUGAAGAAGGCCUUCGGGUUGUAAAGCCCUUUUGUUGGGAAAGAAAUCCAGCUGGCUAAUACCCGGUUGGGAUGACGGUACCCAAAGAAUAAGCACCGGCUAACUUCGUGCCAGCCGCCGCCGUAA